rnacentral:lncRNA from 10 species
CUGUAAGAAAAUGUUAUGUUUCUUAAGAAAAUAAAACCAAGAACUUUAAGGUCGUCCUUGGAAGGAGAGGCUCUUGUAGAGAAGGAAGAGACAUCAUUCUGACCCUGAAGUUUUAUCACUUUCCAAGUUGGUGUCAGAAGCGGGAUCCGAAGUGGAACUUCUAGCAGCCCCCCAGGACCACUGCAUGACCCACUUGUGUCCAUUGAUCUCUCAGAGCAGUUGGGGAUCCUGGGUAAGCUCCCUCUUGGAUUUCUGAGCUCCACGGAUUUGUGUUUUCAUCUCUCCAAGUUUCUUUGAGCAAAUUUCUAAUCCAAACUGGGUUUGGAGUAGUUACAGAAACUGGAUUGGGUCCAGGAACAGAUUUGAUCUGGGAAUUAACUGGCUUAGAUCCAAUCAGAGGCCUCUUACAUCUGACUGGGUCAAAAAGGACUUGGUAGUAAGCAGUAAUAUUGCAGGGGUUACAAAAU